GUCUCAAUUGCUUGGGUUUAAAAGUAGAGAAUCGUCCUAUCCAUCCUGACUGUCGGAUCGGUGCGGACUAAAACCAAAGACAGAAACUAAACAUGUAGAUUCAUGAGCGUAAUGCUGGCGGACGCGGGUUCAACUCCCGCCAUCUCCACCA
rnacentral:tRNA from 1 species